UACGGGGGGGGCAAGCGUUGUUCGGAAUUACUGGGCGUAAAGGGCUCGUAGGCGGCCAACUAAGUCGGAUGUGAAAUCCCCAGGCUUAACCUGGGAACUGCAUCCGAUACUGGAUGGCUUGAAUCCGGGAGGGGGAUGCGGAAUUCCAGGUGUAGCGGUGAAAUGCGUAGAUAUCUGGAGGAACACCGGUGGCGAAGGCGGCAUCCUGGACCGGCAUUGACGCUGAGGAGCGAAAGCCAGGGGAGCAAACGGG
rnacentral:rRNA from 1 species